rnacentral:rRNA from 1 species
UACGGAAGGCAGCAGUGGGGAAUAUUGCACAAUGGGCGAAAGCCUGAUGCAGCUAUGCCGCGUGUAUGAAGAAGGCCUUAGGGUUGUAAAGUACUUUCAUCGGGGAGGAAAAACAAACUAAUAAUUUUAUUUCUUGACGUUACCCGAAAAAGAAGCACCGGCUAACUCCGUGCCAGCAGCCGCGGUAAUACGGAGGGUGCUAGCGUUAAUCAGAAUUACUGGGCGUAAAGAGCACGUAGGUGGUUUUUUUAAGUCAGAUGUGAAAUCCCCGGGCUUAACCUAGGAACUGCAUUUUGAAACUGAAAUACUAGAGUAUCGUAGAGGGAGGUAGAAUUCUAGGUGUAGCGGUGAAAUGCGUAGAUAUCUGGAGGAAUACCUGUGGCGAAAGCGACCUCCUAAACGAAUACUGACACUGAGGGUGCGAAAGCGUGGGGAGCAAACAGGGAUAGAUACC